AGAGUUUGAUCCUGGCUCAGGAUGAACGCUAGCGACAGGCUUAACACAUGCAAGUCGAGGGGCAGCGGGAGGAAAGCUUGCUUUUCUUGCCGGCGACCGGCGCACGGGUGAGUAACACGUAUGCAACCUGCCCAUGACAGGGGGAUAAGCGGGAGAAAUUCCGUCUAAUACCGCAUAACACCCCCGGGAGACAUCUCUCGGGAGUCAAAGGAGCGAUCCGGUCAUGGAUGGGCAUGCGGCGCAUUAGUUAGUUGGCGGGGUAACGGCCCACCAAGGCGACGAUGCGUAGGGGUUCUGAGAGGAAGGUCCCCCACACUGGUACUGAGACACGGACCAGACUCCUACGGGAGGCAGCAGUGAGGAAUAUUGGUCAAUGGGCGAGAGCCUGAACCAGCCAAGUCGCGUGAGGGAAGACGGUCCUACGGAUUGUAAACCUCUUUUGUCGGGGAGCAAUAAGGCGUACGUGUACGCAGAUGCGAGUACCCGAAGAAAAAGCAUCGGCUAACUCCGUGCCAGCAGCCGCGGUAAUACGGAGGAUGCGAGCGUUAUCCGGAUUUAUUGGGUUUAAAGGGUGCGCAGGCGGAAAGUGCAAGUCAGCGGUCAAACGACGGGGCUCAACCCCGUCUCGCCGUUGAAACUGUCUUUCUAGAGUGAGCGAGAAGUAUGCGGAAUGCGUGGUGUAGCGGUGAAAUGCAUAGAUAUCACGCAGAACUCCGAUUGCGAAGGCAGCAUACCGGCGCUCAACUGACGCUCAUGCACGAAAGCGUGGGUAUCGAACAGGAUUAGAUACCCUGGUAGUCCACGCAGUAAACGAUGAAUACUAAUUGUCCGGGCAGAAUGAUGCCUGGGUGAUACAGCGAAAGCGUUAAGUAUUCCACCUGGGGAGUACGCCGGCAACGGUGAAACUCAAAGGAAUUGACGGGGGCCCGCACAAGCGGAGGAACAUGUGGUUUAA
rnacentral:rRNA from 1 species